CGCAUCCGCGUUCCCUGCCGCGUCGCCCUUGCCCUCUCCCCGACGCCGCCUCCGCCGUGCCGCGCCGCCAUCGCCCGCGUCGCUGCCUCCCGCCGCGCUGCUGUCGCCCGCGUCGCUGCCUGCCGUCGCUGCAUCCCGCCGCGCUGCUCUCGCCCGAGUCGCGGUCUCGCCCUCUCUUCCCCUUUACCGUUUGUGCCUCCGCCGUCGCGAAGCCCGCGCCGCCUCCAACGUCUCCCGCCGCACCGUUGAUCUCUGCACUUUGGCAGAAGGCAUGAGGGGCCAUAGGCCAUAGUGGCAGCCUUGGAAGCUUUAAUGCUGUUGCAGUUGGGAGGGCAGUUGUAGCUGGAGUAUUUGUCUUUAAUAAAAGAGAUGAAUUUUGUGUAAAUAAAUCAUUUUUUUAGUUCCACCUUGCUUUGUUAUGUUUAUUUUUAUUUUUCUUUAUGAAUAGGAUAUUUGAAUCAUGAACAAAUGGUUGCUAUUUUACUCCUAAAAUGACUUCUGAUCCAUUUUUGGCGAUUAAAUUGGUGGUUGUCAAUACUCACAUAGUCUCAUCCAUGUCCUGCAUGUGUUAUCUGGUAGGCAAUACCAAUAUACAUGGUUCUUGAUCAGUUGCUCUAGACAGCAGCAAAAAUAGAGGCUAAAUUUUUUGAUGAUAUGUUGUUCUGUUUAGCAUCGGAAAUUGAGCCUACAAUCACUAUGCUUGCCUGCUUGAUCAUUAUUUGCUAGCUAAUAGGUGUACAAACCUGCUCUGUCAUCAAUCCAGUAUAGAUUGGUCAGCGGUGGUGGUUCACCAGCACAUUCAUCUAUGCUUAGUGGGGCACGAUCACUUGAUUUUGUGUCUGAAUGAUUCAGUCUGAAUCAAUCUAUGCUUAGUGGGGCACGAUCUUUAAUUGAGCACCGCAAGCUAUGUUGAAAUAGAAAAAUAACUUGUCAUGUUAUGAGUA